GGACCACAAUGAUGUGUCUGUUAGGCUUCCCCGUAAAAUACUGCAGCGUUUAUUUCGCAAAGCAGAAAUGUCAUUAUAGUAUUAUUGCUUGCUGUAGUUCAUCAAGUACACAAAUUCUAUGACGGGAAGCAAAUAGUUACCGGCGAUCAUUCAUGUGCGAAGAUUAAGUUUCACGCUCUCAAAAAACCUUUCAAGAAUGGCUGCAAGACUCUCGGAUGUCAACAGCCGGCAAGCUGGUAUUGAAGCAAAUAUACUGUUCAACUAAACGCUUCCAAUUUUUCGCAAUAUCUGCUGAUUUCUGAUGACUAAAGCGAGGCGCAACGAUGGAGGAAACGAGCAAAAUAGGUGUAGGGCAUAAGCAGCAGGGACGCAACAUAAAAUUCCACAAUCAUAUGCAAAGAGGAAAAUCCAAUGAUGUAACAGCACACACGGAGAAGAGUACAUAGUGC